UACGUAGGCAGCAAGCGUUGUUCGGAGUUACUGGGCGUAAAGGGUGCGUAGGCGGCUUUUUAAGUUUGGUGUGAAAUCUCCCGGCUCAACUGGGAGGGUGCGCCGAAUACUGAGAGGCUAGAGUGUGGGAGAGGAAAGUGGAAUUCCUGGUGUAGCGGUGAAACGCGUAGAUAUCAGGAGGAACACCGGUGGUGUAAACGGCUUUCUGGACCAUAACUGACGCUGAUGCACGAAAGCGUGGGUAGCAAACAGG
rnacentral:rRNA from 1 species